UACGUAGGGAGCGAGCGUUGUCCGGAUUCAUUGGGCGUAAAGAGCUCGUAGGCGGCUUGGUAAGUCGGAUGUGAAACCUCCAGGCUCAACCUGGAGUCGCCAUCCGAUACUGCCAUGGCUAGAGUCCGGUAGGGGCCCACGGAAUUCCUGGUGUAGCGGUGAAAUGCGUAGAUAUCGGGAGGAACACCAGUGGCGAAGGCGAUCAUCUGGGGUUGUUCUGACACUGAGGAGCGAAAGCUAGGGGAGCAAACGGG
rnacentral:rRNA from 1 species